rnacentral:rRNA from 1 species
GAUGAACGCUGGCGGCGUGCCUAAUACAUGCAAGUCGAGCGAAUGGAUUAAGAGCUUGCUCUUAUGAAGUUAGCGGCGGACGGGUGAGUAACACGUGGGUAACCUGCCCAUAAGACUGGGAUAACUCCGGGAAACCGGGGCUAAUACCGGAUAACAUUUUGAACCGCAUGGUUCGAAAUUGAAAGGCGGCUUCGGCUGUCACUUAUGGAUGGACCCGCGUCGCAUUAGCUAGUUGGUGAGGUAACGGCUCACCAAGGCAACGAUGCGUAGCCGACAUGAGAGGGUGAUCGGCCCCACUGGGACUGCGACACGGCCCAGACUCCUACGGGGGGCAGCAGUAGGGAAUCUUCCGCAAUGGACGAAAGUCUGACGGAGCAACGCCGCGUGAGUGAUGAAGGCUUUCGGGUCGUAAAACUCUGUUGUUAGGGAAGAACAAGUGCUAGUUGAAUAAGCUGGCACCUUGACGGUACCUAACCAGAAAGCCACGGCUAACUACGUGCCAGCCGCCGCUGUAA